UAAAAAAUGAGUACAAGAUGAGAUACAAUAGAAAAAAAAAACAUUAUUAUUAGCAUACAAUUUUUGACGUCCUAACUAAUUGAUAUGCUUAUCUUUUGAGAAAACUCACCACAAACUUUGAAUAACUAUUAAGACAUGCUCUACAUUAAGACAAGUUGAAGUUUAAAAUGACCUGCAGUGAAACUCAAUAAACCAAACCAACUACAACUGUGUUGCAAUCAUCAAGCUCAAAAAUUACAUUUUGGACAUC
rnacentral:lncRNA from 1 species